AAGCAAUAUAAGUAUCUGGCAAGAGUACCAAACGGAUCCUAAAUUAAUGAAACAUUUCAAAUGAAGAUGAUGAUGUAGCUCACAAGAGUUUGUACAUGUUCAAGCAACAGGAAUCGAGCUCCCCGUUCCUAUGGAAAUGUUCUUUGCUCCACAAAACGCAGGAAUUUUUACAUCCACUCGGAGCCAAAGUUUUCCGUGGAAGCUCUCAAGGUGUGCUCGCGCGGCUGAGGGAGAUAGAGCGCGGAGGAGUGGCUGUGUGGUGCUACAGAAAGACAGAAGAGCCAACGAGCGGGCUGCCGUCGUCAGAGUCGUCGGCGCCGGCGCCGGCGGUGCUGCUGUCCUGCUGCAGCCGCACGCUUCCCAUGCUGCCGGCUGCCGUAGCGUCUCAACCCACGCCGCUCUCCAGAGCAUCCGGCCGCCGUGGCUUGCUCCCACAGUCCCACGCCUUCCUAGCUGUGGUCGCUCUCCAUUGCUUUGACAAUGAGGACAUCGAGGGCAUGGAUGGAGCGGCUCCAUUGGAGCCCUGGGAGCGAGCUACGAGAUGGGGAUUCAGAAAAACCGAGGUGAAGAGGUAACAGAUAAGGUAGUGAUGGAUAAGAACGAUGGUGUAUGCUGAACAUAGGUCGACUGAGUUCAUGGGCCAAGGUCCCACCUGUAAAAAAUCUCAUACCAUCUUAAACAUACACGUUCACGUUCAUGUAUGUCAAAGUACUGUAAUCUAAUGUCGUAAUAUUUUCUUCCUCA